AUCUACCAUACACAGUAAACACCAAUUCUUCAUAACCUCUAAGUCUUCAUACCUGUAUUUAGCAGAAAAAAAAUGUCACAUUGUCGACUAAGAAGACAUAACAACACAACUUCGCUUUUACCCCCCGAUGACAGUGAAGACAGUUUGGUGGAUGACUCAGAUGAGGAUCCAGAUUACACCC